GACGAACGCUGGCGGCGUGCCUAACACAUGCAAGUCGAACGGAAAGGCCCUGCUUUUGUGGGGUGCUCGAGUGGCGAACGGGUGAGUAACACGUGAGUAACCUGCCCUUGACUUUGGGAUAACUUCAGGAAACUGGGGCUAAUACCGGAUAGGAGCUCCUGCUGCAUGGUGGGGGUUGGAAAGUUUCGGCGGUUGGGGAUGGACUCGCGGCUUAUCAGCUUGUUGGUGGGGUAGUGGCUUACCAAGGCUUUGACGGGUAGCCGGCCUGAGGGGGUGACCGGCCACAUUGGGACUGAGAUACGGCCCAGACUCCUACGGGAGGCAGCAGUGGGGAAUAUUGCACAAUGGGCGGAAGCCUGAUGCAGCAACGCCGCGUGCGGGAUGACGGCCUUCGGGUUGUAAACCGCUUUCGCCUGUGACGAAGCGUGAGUGACGGUAAUGGGUAAAGAAGCACCGGCUAACUACGUG
rnacentral:rRNA from 1 species